UACAGAGGUCCCAAGCGUUGUUCGGAUUCAUUGGGCGUAAAGGGUGCGUAGGCGGCGCGGUAAGUCGGGUGUGAAAUCUCGGGGCUUAACUCCGAAACUGCAUUCGAUACUGCCGUGCUUGAGGACUGGAGAGGAGACUGGAAUUUACGGUGUAGCAGUGAAAUGCGUAGAUAUCGUAAGGAAGACCAGUGGCGAAGGCGAGUCUCUGGACAGUUACUGACGCUGAGGCACGAAGGCCAGGGGAGCAAACGGG
rnacentral:rRNA from 1 species